rnacentral:lncRNA from 1 species
CUUGAGUUCACUGAAAGCAUCAGAGUUUCUCUUUCAGGCAAGACAAAGACAAGUCUGAAAAAAAGGGUAACCAGAAGUUUCCACUAUGGAGACCCAAUUUCUCUCUCUUCAUGAACUGGCUGCUGGGAGCUCUGAAUGCACAUGUUUCAAGCCCAGCCCCAUGCAAGGAUGAAAACUGAAGACCUUCAGUUCUACUAUAAAAUUGCCAGAUGGACAGACGGUGAUGGUGGAACUCUU